CUGGUUCGUGGCGAGAUGGCCAAAUGUACUAAGAAAGUUGGAUCGUCAGUAAAUACGGGACCCGCUAUGGGGCCUCCCUCCGGAAAAUGGUGAAGAAAAUUGAAAUCAGCCAGCACGCCAAGUACACUUGCUCUUUCUGUGGCAAAACCAAGAUGAAGAGACGAGCUGUGGGGAUCUGGCACUGUGGUUCCUGCAUGAAGACAGUGGCUGGCAGUGCCUGGACAUACAAUACCACUUCCGCUGUCAUGGUAAAGUCCGCCAUCAGAAGACUGAAGGAGUUGAAAGACCAGUAGACGCUCUUCUACUCUUUGAGACAUCACUGGCCUAUAAUAAAUGGGUUAAUUUAUGUAAAAAAAAAAAAAAAA